GGUUAAUACUUUUUAUAUUACCAAUGACUGAAUUCUACUUUUACCAUCAGAAAAUAUAAAAACUAAAAGAUCUGACAUGAAUGUCAAUGAGGCAACUAUUUGCCUAAAACUUAAUAGCGUGGGCGUAAACAGCUAUAGGCCACCGUACAGCCUUCAGCAUUGAACAUAGUCCAUACAGUAUAAUAGCAAUAAAAGGCCCCGGCAACAAUUCAAACAAGAAAACAAGGCCAUAUUUAAGUAUAAAUCAAUUUAAACGUAAAACAAGUAUAAUAGACUGCGACAAACAACAAGUUUGUGAGAACUAAGCCCUCCCGUAACCGGGGACAGUGGUUAACAACACAAAAUAAAACAAAGUUGAGGUAGGUUUGACUCAUCAGAUCGACACAAAACACAAUACACAACUAACAAAUAGACUAAAGACAUCAAGUACCCACCUAAGAGUACUCGCAGUUACUGAAAGCUUGUUCAAAGCCAAUUGAAACUAGUAAAUGAAUCGUGUUUCCCAGACAAAAACUUUUUAAACUGAGGUGCAGUUAAGACCCCCCAAAAUUUGACUCUAAAAAUAGCCGAUGGAAUAUUUGCCGUCUUAUGGCGCUCGUCAAUACGGCAUUAAAACUGGUAUCAUGUAACAUUUUGUUGUGUUUGUUUAAUUUUGUUUUUGUUUUUGUUUUGUUUUGUUUUUGUUUUUUGUUUUGUUUUUGUUUUUUGUUUUGUUUUGUUUUUUGUUUUAUUGCAUAUCAUGCGUAUGGCGUUCGACAACAAUUAUUAUCCCAAAUCAUUUAUGACUGCUUCAAAAAACGAAUAUUCUCUAAUAUACGUAUAUACAUAAAAAUUCCAUGUAUAACUGUUCACAGUAUUUAACCCAAUUGCGUUGUUUCUCUUUCAGAUAACAAAAUCGUACUAAUUAGCAGUUUUAUAGUCUGAGAUAUACGCUACUAUUAAAUCUAAACC
rnacentral:lncRNA from 1 species